UACAGAGGUCUCAAGCGUUGUUCGGAUUCAUUGGGCGUAAAGGGUGCGUAGGCGGCGCGGUAAGUCGGGUGUGAAAUCUCGGAGCUUAACUCCGAAACUGCAUUCGAUACUGCCGUGCUUGAGGACUGGAGAGGAGACUGGAAUUUACGGUGUAGCGGUGAAAUGCGUAGAUAUCGAGAGGAACACCGGUGGCGAAGGCGGCCUUCUGGACAGUGACUGACGCUGAGACGCGAAGGCGUGGGGAGCAAACAGG
rnacentral:rRNA from 1 species